UUUUGCACAUAUUUUGUUUAGGUUUCUUAGUUUUGAUUUUGAUUUUUUUAAUGUUUUUAAUGGAGCUUUGAUGUCCAAUAGCAGGUACGAAAGCUCACAAGCUCACAAAUGUGGAAAGAAAGGUGAAAUAGGGGAGAAAUAUACCUAAGUCCAAGCUUAAAAGUCCAUUUCGCAACUCAAAAAGUGAGUUGCGAAAUGCACAUUUUGGCAAGAUGCAAAAUGCAACCUCUCGGGAUUGCACUUUCGCAAGGAGUAACCAGUGCGAAAAUUUUCGCAAGUCAUUUUUCACCUUGCGAAAUUGUUUUCAAAGCAAAUAUCAAAAUGCAACCUCUCGGGAUUGGUUUUUAAGGGGAGUAGCCAGUGCGAAAAUUUGGCAAGGUGAAUUUUCACCUUGCGAAAUUUCCAGCACUCCGCCAUGCUCUCUCAAAUCCACCAUCACCUGAGCAUAUCACCUCCUCCACCUCAGGAGCCACAUCCAUAAUUGGAUAUUUCUAUCUCCAUUUUGUAUAUGUUUUUUGUAGAUGUACAUGUUUUAUAUUCUGAGAUUGUAUGUACCUCAUGAUUCUAUCUUGUACUCAACUCUCUCAGUUUAUAUAAGCAUCAUUUUUUGUAUCUUAUUUCCUCUCUCACGUUUCUUAUGGUUUUUGAAUCAUGUGGAUGCACUCACACGCCUUGAAUACCACAUCACCAUAAGGUAUAUCAUUCCUUCCUCAUCUUUUUCGAUAGAAACAUUGGGGACAAUGUUCAUCUCGGUU
rnacentral:lncRNA from 1 species